CAAGACUGUUGACAGUUGCAGAGUGUGUGGGCUCUGUGGGCAUCAGACAGUGACCUCCUCACAGGUCCAGGAGCAACAGACUGCAAACAAAGGCCUCUGAGAGGUCUGAGGCACCAUGGAGAAAGGAAAAGGACUGGCCAGAAAAAGUAGGAAGCUGGCAUCCAGCCGCCGGAGGCAGAUGCGAGAGCCAGCAGACGGGCAGGAUGCCCCCGUGGCCCCGGAAGCGGGGUCCUGGCCCUCUGACGCUGAUGCGGAACUUCAGGGUUUCUUCCAGAACUGUGGUGCCAAGGAGAGGGGCUUUGUCACCCGGGAGGAUCUGGCGGAGGCCAGGUUCAGCUUCCUGGGUAACGAGGAGCCGCAGAUGAUAUUUGACUGGGUGGACGUUGAGAGUAGGGGCCGCCUGUCGCUGGAAGAAUUCAGCUCUGGACUCAAAAAUGUCUUUGGCUCCAGCCCCAGUACCCACAGACUCCAGACAAAACGGUCAUUGCCCUCUCAACGGAUAUCUGCGACCUCCAGCUUCCCUGUCUUCGAGGAGGCCGAUACUGAGGAGAAGGAAGCCUUCCUGACCCUUGUAGGGCAGAUGGAGACUGGCCACUCCCUUUCUGAGCAGGCUGAGCUCUGGAAACUGUGGAGAGAGCUGCGGCAGGAGGAGCCCCAGUUGGCAGGCAACUUGGAGGGCUUCCUAGCCAAGAUGAGCAGUCGCCUGCAGGAGGCUCGGGCCGACCGGGAGGCACUGGCGUGGACCCUGAGAAAGUGAGCGGGGGACAUAGCAGGUGUUCCUUGCACGCUGUGGGAUCCUGGGUCCUGUACAGAGGAUGCUUGGAGGGUCCCCUUGCUCAAUACUACCUAGAAAGAUCAACCAUUUCGAGCAUCGCCUCUGAGGGGGACCUGGAGACUCCCUUCUGAAGUGGCUGGGGCUUGGAAGCAGAGCUAUCUCGUGACCCUGAAACUGCCAGGGUCACCGGAGCCUGAGUCAUG
rnacentral:lncRNA from 14 species